UACGUAGGGGGCAAGCGUUGUCCGGAUUCAUUGGGCGUAAAGAGCCCGUAGGCGGUUCAGUAAGUCAGGUGUGAAAUCUCCGCGCUCAACGCGGAGCGGCCACCUGAUACUGCUGUGACUCGAGUCCGGUAGGGGAGUGUGGAAUUCCCGGUGUAGCGGUGAAAUGCGCAGAUAUCAAGAGGAACACCUGAGGUGAAGACGGGUUGCUGGGCCGACACUGACGCUGAUAGCGCGAAAGCCAGGGGAGCAAACGGG
rnacentral:rRNA from 1 species